CACGUAGGGCGCGAGCGUUGUCCGGAAUUAUUGGGCGUAAAGCGCUCGCAGGUGGUUCGUUGCGUCGUGCGUGAAAGACCCCGGCUCAACUGGGGAGGGUCGUGCGAUACGGGCGGACUGGAGGCCAGUAGGGGGAUGCGGAAUUCCGGGUGUAGUGGUGGAAUGCGUAGAGAUCCGGAGGAACACCAGCGGCGAAGGCGGCAUCCUGGACUGGUCCUGACACUCAGGAGCGAAAGCGUGGGGAGCGAUCCGG
rnacentral:rRNA from 1 species